AACGAACGCUGGCGGCAUGCCUAACACAUGCAAGUCGAACGAAGGCUUCGGCCUUAGUGGCGCACGGGUGCGUAACGCGUGGGAAUCUGCCCUUGGGUUCGGAAUAACUCAGAGAAAUUUGAGCUAAUACCGAAUGAUGUCGAAAGACCAAAGAUUUAUCGCCCAAGGAUGAGCCCGCGUAGGAUUAGCUUGUUGGUGAGGUAAAAGCUCACCAAGGCGACGAUCCUUAGCUGGUCUGAGAGGAUGAUCAGCCACACUGGGACUGAGACACGGCCCAGACUCCUACGGGAGGCAGCAGUGGGGAAUAUUGGACAAUGGGCGAAAGCCUGAUCCAGCAAUGCCGCGUGAGUGAUGAAGGCCUUAGGGUUGUAAAGCUCUUUCACCAGGGAUGAUAAUGACAGUACCUGGAGAAUAAGCUCCGGCUAACUCCGUGCCAGCAGCCGCGGUAAAGUACAGUGU
rnacentral:rRNA from 1 species